rnacentral:rRNA from 1 species
AGUGGCGCACAGGUGAGUAACACGUAGGUAAUUUACCUUUGGGUGGGGAAUAACAGUCGGAAACGACUGCUAAUACCGCAUAAUGCAGCGGCUCGACAUCGAGACAGUUGUUAAAGCGGGGGAUCGCAAGACCUCGCGCCUGAAGAGAAGCCUGCGGCAGAUUAGCUUGUUGGUAGGGUAAUGGCCUACCAAGGCGACGAUCUGUAGCCGGCCUGAGAGGGCGGUCGGCCACACUGACACUGAAUAACGGGUCAGACUCCUACGGGAGGCAGCAGUCGGGAAUUUUGGGCAAUGGGCGAAAGCCUGACCCAGCAACGCCGCGUGAAGGAUGAAAUUUUUCGGAAUGUAAACUUCGCAAGAAUGGGAAGAAUAAGUUUAGGCUAAUACCCUGAAUGAUGACGGUACCAUUUGUAAGCUCCGGCUAACUCCGUGCCAGCAGCCGCGGUAAUACGGGGGGAGCAAGCGUUGUUCGGAUUUACUGGGCGUAAAGGGCGCGUAGGCGGCGUGGUAAGUCACUUGUGAAAUCUCCGGGCUUAACUCGGAACGGUCAAGUGAUACUGCUGCGCUAGAGUGCGGAAGGGGCAACUGGAAUUCUUGGUGUAGCGGUGAAAUGCGUAGAUAUCAAGAGGAACACCUGCGGCGAAAGCGGGUUGCUGGGCCGACACUGACGCUGAGGCGCGAAAGCUAGGGGAGCGAACGGGAUUAGAUACCCCGGUAGUCCUAGCCUU